CAUUAAUGAAAUGAAUGUCGAGAAGGGUUGUAGCUGGCCUUUUGGGGCAUGUGCACACCUUGAUCGCACAUCCCCCUCUCACACCUGUGCACUAUGUGUAGCUUGGGAUGAUUACAAUGUCAGAAAUGACGUUGAAAGCCCUAGCUAUGAAUUUUUUAUAUAUAAACCCCAUAUACAAAGUUAUAGAAUGGAUAAUGUUAUAGGGGGGGGGGGGGUGGAAAUAUAUACAACUUUCAGCAACGGAUCUCUUGGCCCCUCGCAUCGAUGAAGAACGCAGCGAAAUGCGAUAAGUAAUGUGAAUUGCAGAAUUCAGUGAAUCAUCCAAUCUUUGAACGCCCCCUUGCACUCCUUGGUAUUCCGAGGAGUAUGCCUGUUUGAGUGUCAUGAAAUUCUCCACUGCCUUUUAGCAUUUUUUUGUAAAGGGAAAUUUGAAUUUGAAGAUUGUUUCUUAACGAAAAACUAACCUGCUUUUUUAGCCCCCCCCUAAAAAAAUAACUUUUUCGAAAAAAUAAGACCCCAUAACCCUUAAGGGGAAUAAUUUUUACCUUAAAGGGGGAAACGGGGAAGAAAAUUAACCUCCAUUUUGGGAAAACCUCCUAUGAAAAAGGGGUUGGCUUGGGGAAAAAAAAACCCUUGAAUUGAAAAUUAAGACCAAUUCGACCUCCCAACAGGGGGGCCUCCCCGCUAAAUUAAGGUUUGCAUAAGGGGGAGGAAA
rnacentral:misc_RNA from 1 species